UACGGAGGGUGCGAGCGUUGUCCGGAAUCAUUGGGCGUAAAGGGUGCGUAGGUGGGUUGGUAAGUCCGUGGUGAAAUCCCCAAGCUUAACUUGGGAACUGCCGUGGAUACUAUCAAUCUUGAAUAUCGUGGAGGUAAGCGGAAUAUGUCAUGUAGCGGUGAAAUGCUUAGAUAUGACAUAGAACACCGAUAGCGGAGGCAGCUUGCUACACGAUCAUUGACACUGAGGCACGAAAGCGUGGGGAUCAAACAGG
rnacentral:rRNA from 1 species